rnacentral:rRNA from 1 species
GACGAACGCUGGCGGCGUGCUUAACACAUGCAAGUCGAACGGAAAGGCCCUGCUUUUGUUGGGUGCUCGAGUGGCGAACGGGUGGGUAACACGUGAGUAACCUGCCCUUGACUUUGGGAUAACUUCAGGAAACUGGGGCUAAUACCGGAUAGGAGCUCCUGCUGCAUGGUGGGGGUUGGAAAGUUUCGGCGGUUGGGGAUGGACUCGCGGCUUAUCAGCUUGUUGGUGGGGUAGUGGCUUACCAAGGCUUUGACGGGUAGCCGGCCUGGGAGGGUGACCGGCCACAUUGGGACUGAGAUACGGCGCAGACUCCUACGGGAGGCAGCAGUGGGGAAUAUUGCACAAUGGGCGGAAGCCUGAUGCAGCAACGCCGCGUGCGGGAUGACGGCCUUCGGGUUGUAAACCGCUUUCGCCUGUGACGAAGCGUGAGUGACGGUAAUGAGUAAAGAAGCACCGGCUAACUACGUG